GAUGAACGCUGGCGGCGUGCCUAAUACAUGCAAGUCGAGCGAACGGACGAGAAGCUUGCUUUUCUGAUGUUAGCGGCGGACGGGUGAGUAACACGUGGAUAACCUACCUAUAAGACUGGGAUAACUUCGGGAAACCGGAGCUAAUACCGGAUAAUAUUUUGAACCGCAUGGUUCAAAAGUGAAAGACGGUCUUGCUGUCACUUAUAGAUGGAUCCGCGCUGCAUUAGCUAGUUGGUAAGGUAACGGCUUACCAAGGCAACGAUGCAUAGCCGACCUGAGGGGGUGAUCGGCCACACUGGAACUGAGACACGGUCCAGACUCCUACGGGAGGCAGCAGUAGGGAAUCUUACGCAAUGGAGGAAAGCCUGACGGAGCAACGCCGCGGGAGUGAUGAAGGUCUUAGGAUCGUAAAACUCUGUUAUUAGGGAAGAACAUAUGUGUAAGUAACUGUGCACAUCUUGACGGUACCUAAUCAGAAAGCCACGGCUAACUACGUG
rnacentral:rRNA from 1 species